UUGAUCCUGGCUCAGAAUCAACGCUGGCGGCGUGCCUAACACAUGCAAGUCGAACGCGAAAACCCCGCAAGGGGUUAGUAGAGUGGCGAACGGGUGAGUUACACGUGGGUGACCUACCUUCGAAUGGGGGAUAACGUCCCGAAAGGGACUCUAAUACCGCAUAACAUCCUGCUUUUGAACAGGUGGAGAUCAAAGCCGGUGAUCGUAAGACCUGGCGUUUGAAGAGGGGCCCGCGUCUGAUUAGCUAGUUGGUGAGGUAACGGCCCACCAAGGCGACGAUCAGUAUCCGGCCUGAGAGGUCGGACGGACACACUGGGACUGAGACACGGCCCAGACUCCUACGGGAGGCUGCAGUGGGGAAUUGUUCGCAAUGGGCGCAAGCCUGACGACGCAACGCCGUGUGGAGGAUGAAGGUCUUCGGAUUGUAAACUCCUGUUGCCCGGGACGAAUAGCUUCGACCUAACACGUCGAAGUCUGACGGUACCGGGUGAGGAAGCCCUGGCUAACUCUGUGCCAGCAGCCGCGGUAAUAAGGU
rnacentral:rRNA from 1 species